UAUCUCUGUAGAGUCUGCAUAUCAAUAAGCGGAGGAAAAGAAACUAACAAGGAUUCCCUUAGUAACGGCGAGUGAAGCGGGAAGAGCUCAAAUUUGAAAUCUUCAAGGUUUUACCUUGACGAAUUGUAGUUUAAAGAAGUGUUUUCUGUUGAAGUUUUGGUAAAAGUUCUUUGGAAUAGGACAUCAUAGAGGGUGAGAAUCCCGUAUUUGACCAUUAUUUUCAGCUGUGUGAUACACUUUCAAAGAGUCGGAUUGUUUGGGAAUGCAGUCCAAAAUGGGUGGUAAAUUUCAUCUAAAGCUAAAUAUUGGCGAGAGACCGAUAGCGAACAAGUACCGUGAGGGAAAGAUGAAAAGAACUUUGAAAAGAGAGUUAAACAGUACGUGAAAUUGUCAAAAGGGAAGCAUUUGACACCAGUGUUGUUUUUCCGAAAAUCAAUUAAAAAUUGAUUCAUGCCAGGUUGUAUUGACCUUAUCAGCUUGCAAUUUGGUUUUGGGUCUCUUUUUGAUGCACUUUUCGGUUAACAAGUCAACAUCAAUUUCCUUUGCUGUAAAAAGGUAAGAGGAAGGUGGCUUCAAUUUCGGUUGAAGUGUUUAUAGCCUUUUAUCUCUGCAGUCGGGGAGAUUGAGGUCUGCAGCGUAGAUCCUUCGGGGCUAGAUACAUUUAUGCUAAGUUAUAGCUUUUCAUAGACAACUUGUUGACUAUGUUUAGUCAUGUAGCUUACUCGUAAGUGCUAUUUUACCUACGCUUAGGAUGUUGAGCGCAUGUCUCUCUCU
rnacentral:rRNA from 1 species